rnacentral:rRNA from 1 species
UUUUUGGAGAGUUUGAUCCUGGCUCAGAGUGAACGCUGGCGGCGUGGAUUAGGCAUGCAAGUCGAGCGAUCUCGUAGCAAUACGGGACAGCGGCAAAAGGGUGAGUAACACGUAAGUAAUCUUCCCUUGAAACGGGCAUAGCACUGUGAAAACGGUGGUAAUUCCCGAUGUUAUCGAAUGUUCGCAUGGGCGAUCGAUCAAAGGCGGGGACCGCAAGGCCUGCCGUUCAAGGAUGAGCUUGCGUACCAUCAGCUAGUUGGUAGGGUAACGGCCUACCAAGGCUAAGACGGUUAGCUGGUCUGAGAGGAUGGUCAGCCACACUGGGACUGAGACACUGCCCAGACUCCUACGGGAGGCUGCAGUCGAGAAUCAUUCGCAAUGGGCGAAAGCCUGACGGUGCGACGUCGCGUGGAGGAUGAAGGUCUUCGGAUUGUAAACUCCUGUCAUGUGGGAUAAAUGGCCCGGGCCCGAAUACGGCCUGGGAAUGAUCGUACCACAGGAGGAAGAGACGGCUAACUCUGUGCCAGCAGCCGCGGUAAUACAGAGGUCUCGAGCGUUGUUCGGAUUUACUGGGCGUAAAGGGAGCGUAGGCGGUUUGGUGUGUCGAAUGUGAAAGCCCGCAACUCAACUGCGGAAUGGCAUUCGAAACUACCAGGCUAGAGUACUGG